AAAAAAAAAAUUAAAUACAGUCUCCCACGCUGGCCGUCCCAGGAACACCUCUGCCUUUCAGCCGGGCCGCUCCGGAUUGACCCUGGGUGCGGGUCAGAGCACGCCGCGGCUCGGCAAAGCGUUGGCAAACGUUCGGGGGGUUUGUUAAAAAAAAACCCAACUGAUCUCAGAAUUAACUCUCCCUCUCCUCCGUGUCCCGUGUCUGCCUUCUCCUCCCCGCAGAGUCUCUCUGGAUGUCCGGGCAAGACGGGGCGAAGUUUCUGACCGGGCCCACGUUUGGGUGAUCUCAUCAGACUUUGAGCACUACAUCCUCACCGAUAACGCAAACAAACUGGAGGUGGCACUCGACGGACUUAGGUUGUUUAAAAAUCUCUCUCAUCAUCUCAUGAAUCUGCUGUACUAUAAAAACAACAGCUUUUAAAAUCAAGCACAGCGAGUGAAGGAUCGUGCUGAGGACGUUGCCCUUUUCUUUUUCCAAAUACCCCGUACGGACCCGCUACCCCCGGAGUGACCAAAAAGCGAGGGAUUUCCACCUAGGAGUGUGAACUGGCACCCGAAGGGCCGCCGGCCCCGCGCCAACCGUGCCCUGGGCCGCGUCCAAACACGAGGGACGUUUUGAGAGGAGUCGUAACAAGCCACAGGAGCUCGGGUACCCUCCCCCCUUCAAAAGAAAAAAAGUCCUUUGUGAUUGGCUUGAUUAAAAUGAAGCCUGAUCUGUCCUUUUUUUUUCUUUUUUUUUUUUUUUUUCUUCAUAAAUGUUCAUUUUAAGUUGAAUUUGUAGCUUGGACUUUAAGGUAGCAUGGCUCUCUUUGCUGUAAGUUUAUUUUUUUUUUCCAUUGUACAGCAGCGUACCGCUGGUGAAUGUUACACAUCUUGCUAGGCUAGUUAAACCAUUGGGUAAUUGUUGGUAAUAACGACCUGAAAGGUGUUCGGAUUUCUUUUCUUCCCUGCUCUGAAGCCUAGGAUGCUGUUUUCAUCUGUAGUGUGAAUGAGGGCUAGUGACUCCAGCCACAGUUACCUUCCUGUUUCGUUUCUGCCAUUCACUCAAUGCAACAUAAUCAAUAAUAAAGCAAUAUAGUUUACUACAUUUUUACUGAAGGCCAGCCAUGGUUAUGUAUGAUAUUGCAUAUGAAACUGUUUACAAAAAAAAAAAAACAAAAAAAAAAAACCAACAAACAACACUAACUCAUAGCUGUCUUUUAUGCUAUGGAAAUGUCUCUUGGGUGGAAUUUUCUGAAUUAUUUUUUUUAGUGGUUUGGUUUGGUUUUUUAAGCGAAAUAGUUUAAACAGAAAACUGAAGUUAGGGUAGGGUGAAGAGACAGGAUGCAUCGAAGACACACCGGCAGAUCCCGGUCUGCGCACAGACACUGUAGAGUUUCAUACGUACAGAAUCCAAGUCAAACCCGCUGCCGUGUGCGAACACUACGUGAGGAGAUUCUGUAAGCUAAGCAAUACUUUAAAAAAAAAAAAAAAAAAAAAAAAAAAAAAAAAAAAAGUAGUUUGAGAAAGUAAAUCCUCGUGAUCGGUUCUCGGUUCCCAAACAGUCCGACUGUGUUGUCUCGAGAGAGCUCCGUGUCCGAGCAGGGUGGAGCCCCGGCAGCCCGGGGCCAGCAGGACUCGCCCGCGCCCGGCUCUCUGGUCUGUACAUACCCGUAACACCACGCGUGGGCUCGUGUGUCGCGUCGACCGUCGUAGGUAGCAAAUCCCCGUCAUUCUCUGUUGUACGAGGUCUGAACUCCAUCAGUACUAGGAUGCAAGUCUAAGCAUUUCAGGUGGUCAUAAAUGUACUUAAAUAAACUAUGGCACAGUGGCAGGCCUAGCCCUUCCUUUUAUACUUUAGUAUGAACUGAUGAGAACUUUGGUAGUGACUUUUUUUUUAUAUAUAUACAUAUAUAUAUGUAUCUAUAUAUAUCAAGCAUCUUUCAGGUCUCUGUGUAUGGCUUUCUAAAGCCCUGUUGUAAAAUACUAUGUGGAUGGGGGUCUCUCACAUCACAGAUGUGGAAAGUAUAAUUUUAUAUUUGUAUUUUCAAAUAAAUAAGUUUGUGAAAGGUUUCCAUCCUCUACUGUGGUCCAGAAAUCAAUGUGUUUGUCUGACAAAAAAAAAUACAAUAAACUGUUUUGAACAGA